UACGUAGGGGCCUAGCGUUGUCCGGAAUUAUUGGGCGUAAAGAGCUCGUAGGUGGUUCGGCAAGUCGGAUGUGAAAUCUCCACGCUUAACGUGGAGGGGCCAUUCGAAACUGCUGUGACUUGAGUCCGGUAGGGGAGUGUGGAAUUCCCGGUGUAGCGGUGAAAUGCGCAGAUAUCGGGAGGAACACCAGUAGCGAAGGCGGCACUCUGGGCCGGUACUGACGCUGAGGAGCGAAAGCGUGGGGAGCGAACAGG
rnacentral:rRNA from 1 species